ensembl:lncRNA
CUGCAGAGGAGGAGAUUCGUUCAGAGUCUGUCUUAACGAUAUCUGUUCAUAUAUAGACAGGAGCAAAAAUCCUGUGAGGACAGAUAUCGAUGCAUGCACAAAAAUGUGAUAUACUUUAAAAAGGGAAUAGCCACUUGCUUUUAUUAUUUGCACUUUGGCCUUAUUAGAGUGGUGAAAAGUAUUCUAAUUCUGCUUUUCUUACAGUGUCGGAAAUCUGAGAGGAAUUCUGUCAGGUAACACGGCAGAUGUUUCAUACACAAGGCUGGAGCACCAACAGAUGGCACUGUUCCACAGAGAGAGGAAAAAAAAAAUCAAGCCUCAUCCUUACAGCACGACUCCUCUGAUGUCUUAUGCAUGAUGCUUUUGCUUAGAUGUAUUUGAUAAUUGAUGCAUGCUUGUUUCAGGCGCUGGAUUAUUCGCACACUGUUAUAUAAUAUUCCUGCAUAUUUCUAACAUGACGCUCAGAAAACUGCUUCAGCAGAUCUCAGAAGAACGCUUCCUCUACAGCCUGGUCCACGUUACUGUAAGUCUUAGAUUGUGGGUUUACGAUCAAUAAUUCAGUAUUCAGUCAGCAUAAUUCAGUAUUCAGUCAGUAUAAUCAGUAUUCAGUCAGUCUAAUUCAGUAUUCAGUCAGUAUAAUCAGUAUUCAGUCAGCAUAAUUCAGUAUUCAGUCAGUAUAAUCAGUAUUCAGUCAGUAUAAUCAGGUAUUCAGUCAGUAUAAUCAGUAUUCAGUCAGUAUAAUCGGUAUUCAGUCAGUAUAAUCGGUAUUCAGUCAGUAU